AGUGAACGCUGGCGGUAGGCCUAACACAUGCAAGUCGAACGACAGCACAGUAAGAGCUUGCUCUUACGGGUGGCGAGUGGCGGACGGGUGAGGAAUACAUCGGAAUCUACUUUUUCGUGGGGGAUAACGUAGGGAAACUUACGCUAAUACCGCAUACGACCUACGGGUGAAAGCAGGGGAUCUUCGGACCUUGCGCGAUUGAAUGAGCCGAUGUCGGAUUAGCUAGUUGGCGGGGUAAAGGCCCACCAGGGCGGCGAUCCGUUGCUGGUCUGAGAGGAUGGUCGGCGGCACGGGAGGUGGGCCGCGGUCCAGGGGCCUGCGGGAGGGCGCAGUGGGGUAUGGUGGGCAGUGGGGGGGAGUGUGGUCCAGCGGGAGGGCGUGGGUGGAGGCGGCCCUCGGGUCGUAAUGCCCUUCUGUGGGUAAAGAACCGCUUCAGGCUAAGACGCCGCUGUUCUGACGGUACCCAAUGAAUAAGCACCGGCUAACUUCGUG
rnacentral:rRNA from 1 species